rnacentral:rRNA from 1 species
UGUACGGAAUCCUUUAGAGAUAGAGGAGUGCUCGAAAGAGAACCGUAACACAGGUGCUGCAUGGCUGUCGUCAGCUCGUGUCGUGAGAUGUUGGGUUAAGUCCCGCAACGAGCGCAACCCUUGUCAUUAGUUGCUACAUUCAGUUGGGCACUCUAAUGAGACUGCCGGUGACAAACCGGAGGAAGGUGGGGAUGACGUCAAGUCCUCAUGGCCCUUAUAGGUGGGGCUACACACGUCAUACAAUGGAUGGUACAAAGGGUCGCCAACCCGCGAGGGGGGAGCCAAUCCCAUAAAGCCAUUCGUAGUCCGGAUCGCAGUCUGCAACUCGACUGCGUGAAGUCGGAAUCGCUAGUAAUCGUGGAUCAGAAUGUCACGGUGAAUACGUUCCCGGGUCUU